rnacentral:rRNA from 1 species
CGUGGGAGGGUCACUGC